rnacentral:rRNA from 1 species
UACGUAGGGUGCAAGCGUUGUUCGGAAUCAUUGGGCGUAAAGCGCGUGUAGGUGGCUAGUUAAGUUGGAUGUGAAAUCCCUGGGCUCAACCGAGGAAGUGCAUUCAAAACUGGCUGGCUAGAAGAUGGUAGAGGAAGGUGGAAUUCCAAGUGUAGAGGUGAAAUUCGUAGAUAUUUGGAGGAAUACCGGCGGCGAAGGCGGCCUUCGGGGCCAUUCUUGACACUGAGACGCGAAAGCGUGGGGAGCAAACAGG